UACGUAGGGUGCGAGCGUUGUCCGGAAUUAUUGGGCGUAAAGCGUGCGUAGGCGGUUCGCUAAGUCGGUUGUGAAAUCCCUGGGCUUAACCUGGGAACUGCAGUCGAUACUGGCGGACUAGAGUACGGUAGAGGGUGGCGGAACUCCGGGUGAUAGCGGUGAAAUGCGUAGAUAUCCGGAAGAACACCGAUGGCGAAGGCAACCACCUGGCCUGUACUGACGGCUGAGGUACGGAAAGCGAUGGG
rnacentral:rRNA from 1 species